rnacentral:rRNA from 1 species
UCAUGGCUCAGGACGAACGCUGGCGGCGUGCCUAAUACAUGCAAGUCGAACGAGAGCGACCGGUGCUUGCACUGGUUAAUCUAGUGGCGAACGGGUGAGUAACACGUGGGUAACCUGCCCAUUAGAGGGGGAUAACAUCCGGAAACGGAUGCUAAAACCGCAUAGGUCUUCGAGCCGCAUGGCUUGAAGAGGAAAAGAGGCGCAAGCUUCUGCUGAUGGAUGGACCCGCGGUGCAUUAGCUUGUUGGUGGGGUGAUGGCCUGCCAAGGCUUUGACGGGUAGCCGGCCUGAGAGGGUGGGCGGUCACACUGGGACUGAGACACGGCCCAGACUCCUACGGGAGGCAGCAGUGGGGAAUAUUGCACAAUGGGCGCAAGCCUGAUGCAGCGACGCCGCGUGAGGGAUGGAGGCCUUCGGGUUGUGAACCUCUUUCGCCAGUGAAGAAGGUCCUGCUCUUUGUGGUGGGAUUGACGGUAGCUGGGUUAAUGAAGCGCCGGCUAACUACGUGCCAGCAGCCGCGGUAAUACGUAGGGCGCGAGCGUUGUCCGGAAUUAUUGGGCGUAAAGGGCUUGUAGGCGGCUGGUCGCGUCUGCCAUGAAAUCCUCUGGCUCAGCUGGGGGCGUGCGGUGGGUACGGGCUGGCUUGAGUGCGGUAGGGGAGACUGGAACUCCUGGUGUAGCGGUGGAAUGCGCAGAUAUCAGGAGGAACACCGGUGGCGAAGGCGGGUCUCUGGGCCGUUACUGACGCUGAGGAGCGAAAGCGUGGGGAGCGAACAGGAUUAGAUACCCUGGUAGUCCACGCUGUAAACGUUGGGCACUAGGUGUGGGGGGCCUUUUCCGGGUUUUCCGCGCCGUAGCUAACGCAUUAAGUGCCCCGCCUGGGGAGUACGGCCGCAAGGCUAAAACUCAAAGGAAUUGACGGGGGCCCGCACAAGCGGCGGAGCAUGCGGAUUAAUUCGAUGCAACGCGAAGAACCUUACCAAGGCUUGACAUGGGCUGGAUUGCUUCGGAGACGGGGUUUCCCUUUUUUGGGCUGGUUCACAGGUGGUGCAUGGUUGUCGUCAGCUCGUGUCGUGAGAUGUUGGGUUAAGUCCCGCAACGAGCGCAACCCUUGUCUCGUGUUGCCAGCACGUUGUGGUGGGGACUCGCGGGAGACUGCCGGGGUUAACUCGGAGGAAGGUGGGGAUGACGUCAAAUCAUCAUGCCCCUUAUGUCUUGGGCUUCACGCAUGCUACAAUGGCCGGUACAGUGGGUUGCGAUGCUGUGAGGCGGAGCGAAUCCCUGAAAGCCGGUCUCAGUUCGGAUCGGUGUCUGCAACUCGACACCGUGAAGUUGGAGUCGCUAGUAAUCGCAGAUCAGCAGCGCUGCGGUGAAUACGUUCUCGGGCCUUGUACACACCGCCCGUCA